UCGAGAAUUUUUCUCAAUGGGCGCAAGCCUGAAGGAGCGACGCCGCGUGGGGGAUGAAGGGUUUCGAUCCGUAAACCCCUGUCAUUUGCGAACAAAGGUUAUUCGAUAAUACCGGGUAAUUUGAUAGUAGUGAAAGAGGAAGGGACGGCUAACUCUGUGCCAGCAGCCGCGGUAAUACAGAGGUCCCGAGCGUUGUUCGGAUUCACUGGGCGUAAAGGGUGCGUAGGUGGUGGUGUAAGUUUGAUGUGAAAUCUCCGGGCUUAACCUGGAAAAGGCAUUGAAUACUGCAUUGCUGGAGGUUUGGAGGGGGGACUGGAAUUCUCGGUGUAGCAGUGAAAUGCGUAGAUAUCGAGAGGAACACCAGUGGCGAAGGCGAGUCCCUGGACAAAACCUGACACUGAGGCACGAAAGCCGGGGGAGCAAACAGGAUUAGAUACCCCCGUAGUCC
rnacentral:rRNA from 1 species